UUUCCUGGAGCUCUCCUUGAACCUUUAUCUGAGAGUAGAAGACACUCAGAAGCCUCCCGGGUCAAUGAUGGUUGGAAAGGAGAAACAAAUAUCCCAAAGCCAAGAGCUCAGAUCAGGGUCUUGGCAAACUUAAGCUGCAGCCAGCACGAGCGAGGAGGGGGCUGGGACGCCGUUCGAGGGCAUCCACUAUUUUUAGAAUGAAGUUAGUGCUCGCCAGCUGCCUUCGACUCCAUGAGAGAAGUAGAACAAACACUAUUUUCCACUCCCAUUGUCUCUCCUUGCUAAAUUCUAUGGCUGUUCUCAUGCUUUUAUGGCCGUGGAGUCGGUACUCUACACACCACCACUCAUGGCCCUACUAUUGUACUUUUGGCAGGAAUGUUGGGUUUUUAUGGGAAUUAAAAUGCAAGAGUGAGGGAGAGAACCUGAACCAAAGACAACAUAAAGGGCCUUGUUGCUUUGGGUAGAAGCCCAACAAAAUUAUUAAGUAGCUCAAAGCAGAACAGAAAGCAGCUCUCUCCAAGAUGCUAAGCUGAGAGGCACCGCACUCCAGCAGAUAUUUGGUGCCCCAUGGAGAAAGGAAAAUAUUCCAAGAGGAGGUUGCUGUAAGAGGGGGAUGGUUGCUGCUGAGCAUUGACACGGCGGGUCAGACUGGGACAGUAGGAUGGAGCCCCAGUUGGAGAGUGUUUGUCCAAGGCCAGCUGUGUUCAUGGCUCUCUUUCCUCCAGUCCCUGUAUAACAAGCUCAUCCCCUUCACUCCUGUAGCUUUCCCGUGCUGGGUAUCCUAAGAGAAAACCACCACAGGGAAUGAUCAGCAUCAUCACUGGGAGCUGGACCUGGGGCAUCUGCUCCGGGGUGACCCCAGCUCUGUCUGCAGGCCCAGGGAGCAGAGUGUUCCACCAGCAGCCCGGGGACACUCAGCUCUUCCUCCUGGGCUGUGGAAGGAGAUGUCAGAACCCCAAAAGAUGAGAAAUAGCUUUCUGAAGCAAAAAACGACUUAACAUUUGGGUUUAACUCUCUUUUUAACUUCAAGCAGGUCCUACUGAGCUCUGGUGGCUGGAGCACGGCAGCGUGCGUGCUCCUCACACGGCGAGGGGAGAUGAGCCCGGUGUGGGACCGGAAUAGCUGUGAAAUUCUGAGAAGUUUGGGUUGGGUUCCAAACUCUAUCACCGACCGCUGCCGCUGCCGUGGCCAAACCAGUGGCUUUGAUGUGAAACCCCAAACUCUGGAAGCGUCUGAGUCUGAGCAUCCAGGGCCAGUUGCGUUGCCAAUAACAGGCGGACUCUGUGUGAGCUCUGGAAUAGCGGUGCAGGCCGGGGGCCAUGGAAAAGGAGUGAGGUCCUUUUCCCUUCCCAUUCUAAAAUCAUUGCAGGUGUCACUCGACAGUACUCUGCUCCCCUUCGCUGCAUUACAAAGGUGGUGCUGAUGAGACCUUGGCAACUUGGGGGGCUGCUAGUGGCCCAUAAGGUUUUUGCAUGUCUGGGUUGCCAGGUCAUGCUCAGACAGGGCUCUUUGUGGUUUCAAGGGUAUUUUUGUGGUUCUCUCGUGGCUUCUGUGACACAAAUGUAGUGGCCAGCUGAGACUAACCUCCCAUUAGUAUCAUGAAUGCCCCAGGUUUUUGGUAGCAGGAGCCAAGGGGAGAAGAAACGUGCUGGGUUUCAUGGGGCUCCCAGCAGAGCUGGGCACCCACUGGACAUGUCCCUCUGCCCAGGGGAUUGUCCCCGUGGUGGUCUCUGCUCCCUGUGGUCCCUGCUCCCCAUGCCUUGUCUGGCCACCCCUCUGUACACAGGCAGCAGCUGCAGGCCAUGAGGUUGGGAACUCGUUAUUUCUCAGCUGGGAGAUGAGCAUCUUCCACAACCACCCACAGACCUUCACCCACCAGUUAAACUCGUUAGCAGCUUAAUGAUCCAUCUCGUCAGAGACUGCAAGGGUUACCCACACCAAGAGUGGUGAGGAACUGUGGGGAGAUGGAGUCCCUUGUCCUGUUGCUAAAAUUUCCCUGCCUGUUUUUCUCUCCUUCCCAUCCCUCCAAAACUUCCUUUCUACUCCUUUUUCUUUAGACUCCUCCUCACUUGUGUUUUCCUGAGAUGGGUUGAAGGAACUUCGCGUGCUUGUGAAAACACGUUGCACCAGAGGCUGGUGGAUGCCGGUGUGGUGUCUGCAGCUGAGCACCCUGGAUCAUUGGCAUGGCCUCCUCCCAACCUCUGACACCCAAACGCUGCCUCUGUCCCACAGGUUGUCCCUGAAGCUGGGAGGUGACCAGUUAAGGCUCACGCUGAGACCAAGGUAAAGCAUCAUCCCUUCUCCUGUGCUUCCCUGCAGAGCUGCUUCCCGGCACCUCCAUCCUGUGGUGGGAGCAGCCGCCAACAUGUGCCACGAGUUACUCAGUCCUCAUGGUCUCGUCUCUGGCACCUGAAGAGGAUGGCUCUGAGCUGCCAAUGCUGCUGAGGACUCAGGGACAACACACCAGGUGCAGGGUGCUUGCAGUCCAUUUUGAAGCUGGUGGUGGUGGAGAAGGUCCUCUUCACCUCCUCCUCCACCCAAAUCAUCGUCAGACUUUGGCUGGGAAAGCUGGGAGUCAUGGACAGGGGCUCUUGCCGUCCCUGUGGGACCUGCAUCUCCAGCACGGGGGUCUGGUACUGAACAUGUGGCCAGAUUGUCACCAGAGCCUGGCCAUGGGAUCGGAUGGAGCCUGCAGGACAUGGGAUUUGGGAUGCAGGACAUGACAGCUGCCUCCCCAGGAUGCAUGCACCACCAGGACCCUCCCCAGGCACACACCAGACUUUGCCAAGCACCUGAAAAUGGCUGGAUUCUGGCCCAGCACCACGGGAGCUGCCCCAAGCCACCAGCCAGGCCUCGGCAAACUGAGGCAAAUAUUUGUAGACACAAAAAAAAGACCCAAGAGGAAGAGCCAGGACCGACGGGUGCCAGACAAAACUGUGGCUCAGGCAGACAACGGCUGGCUGAGCAGUGGAUGGAAGCAUUUGCGGUUUGGUUGGGUUCCUGCGCUAAUUAAGGGCCACAUCCAGCACCCAGGAGCUGGUGAAAACUGCACCCAGCUGCGAGGAGGCUGAUUUCUGCAGGAAAAGGGCAGCGGUGCUUCCAAAACGACCCUGGGAAUUUUCCCUGCAACAGCAUUUCCCAGGUCAGAUCCUGACCCCUCCCGGCUGAAACCAGCCCUCCCAACUGCUGCUGGGACCCGGGGACACCGGAAUGGCCUGGGGACACCGGAAUGGUGGGGGAGCCACGACUCCAGAGCCGGAGGAGGAGGAGGUGACGCUCAGCGUUUACCCCUUUGGGCAGGGAAAGGUGAGAGGAGCAGAGUUUGGCUACACACAAUUGCUUCUCUUAAGAUCCAAACUUACAAAAUCUUAUACAAGUAAAAAAAAAAAUAAUAUUUUUUUCAGUAGGACUUGGCUAUCUGGCCAGAGUAGCCCCAAGGAAUUUCUUUUUUUUUAAAGGAAACAUUUAUUUUUGCAUCAAAAAUGAAGCGUUUUAAAGUGCUGCGUCACUUCAACAAAACACCUUUCUCUUCUUAAUGGUCCAAAUAUUGUGCUUUGCCAUUUAAAAUGCUUUUUACAUUCCGA